GGCUCAAAGUGUAACGGUGCUAUUUGAUGCUCUUGGAAAGACUUUCCCGACAUGCGUUCGGGGGUAAGCUUCUGAGGCUAGAAUAGAAGAGUUUCUGAGAGCCGCCA
rnacentral:misc_RNA from 1 species